UCUCACUCUGUCAUCCUGACUGGAGUGCAGUGGCGUGAUCUCGGUUCACCGCAACCUCUGCCUCCCAGGCUCAAGCAAUUCUCCUGCCUCAGCCUCCCGAGUAGCUGGGAUUACAGGUGUGUGCCACCACGUCCAGCUAAUUUUUGUAUUUUUAGUAGAAACGAGGUUUCACCAUGUUGGCCAGACUGGUCUUGAACUCCUCAUCUCAAAUUAUCCACCCACCUGGGCCUCCCAAAGUUCUGGGAUUACAGCUUAACAGAAAUACUUGUGGAUCCAAAUCCAUGGUAGGAGGUCUGAUUAAGAGGAUUUGCAGAGAGGCUUUUGAGAAGUUGGAUGCUCACUGCUGGUUAGAAACUACUGCUCUGGAAUGAGCCACACUCUGUGCAGUAUUUGAUAUUAAAAUAUUCUCCUGAUUGCUUCUAAUUCUACAUAUAAUAAUAAAUCACUACCUUCUGAGAAGGAAGGCUCUUAU
rnacentral:lncRNA from 10 species